ACCCACCCCCUCACGGGAGAGGGUGGGGAUUUGUAAGUCAUUUGCAAAAUAACUUCCUACUUGGGGGCAGGGCUUUUGUCAAUCCGUAUAUUCAAGGAUACAAGAAUCAGUAUACUACAAUAAUAAAUAUGUGUUUCUUCUUUUUCUUUGUGACCUCCAAUGCCAAAUGGACUAUAGCAGGUAUAUAGAGCUAGUGUGUAUAUGCAUAUGCAUAUGCUAGUCAUUGUUCUUGGAUAUAGGCCCUAGUUUGUGCUUAAUAGUAUGGAGAAGAAGGUGGUUGUGUCUACUAGUGGUAGUAUAGAAGUGCACAUUGUGAACCAUUCUUUUUAUUAAUAUAAUAUUGUUGAAUCCCCUGUGUACGUGUGGGGGGAGAGUCGUUUGUAGUGCUAUGGACAUGCAUUUGUACAAAGAGGUGUUCCCUGGGGGAGUGUCUUUGUAACUCCCCUAUUGACAAAUCCCUACCCUAUCCCGUGAGGGGGGGUGGGGAUUUGCAUUGAUAGGUGCAUUAUACAGGGAUUUGAGGAGUUCUUGCAACUGUAAACUCGAGAGCGGAAGUACCUGUCACGUGAACCAAGCUUGGUAACAAGAUUGAAUUUUGGCUCAUUCCAAACCAAUUUUUCUCCAAUAGAGCCUAUUCAUUUUUGUUAAACUGGGAAAACAUCGACUUACAUCAGAAAGCUAAGAGCCUUUGGUACACAACCAAAAAUUAGUCUCGCGGACCCAGACCCUGAAAGGAGGGUCUGGCCAAUUUCACCGUACAGAGUUGUGUUGACCGCGCCACAAAUAUCGUGGCGCUCUAAGUGGCUGAUAAGUGUUUGUAGUAAGUUGUGAAACCGCACAGCUGCACUAAAUAGAUUUGGCAAAUCUAAUUAUGUGGUUUCACACAUCCGUCCUCCACCCACUAACCACUUAUCAAUGCAAACAGCCACUUAGACCGCUGCACAAGUAGCUCAUGUGUAAUUUGCCAGACGAUAAUAUAUCGGCUGGUCCACGAGACUAACCAAAAAUCCACGUAUAUGAUUAGCAUCUGUGAGAGGUGCACUUAUUAUACUGAUGUGUGCACAGAACCGUAUGAAAUCUAUUUUGUAAUACAAGUGGAUCAGAUGUGUGUUAAAGAUGUGUGUGCAAUAUGUACUUCACUCGUGAUUGCCAAUGUGAUGUUCUGCUAUGUAUCACAACUAUUAAGAAGCAGGCAUUAACGCUUGUUGACAGUGUGGAAAGGUGCAGACUCACAUGAAGGGUAGAACAACUGGCCAGACAGCUAGACGUCAGUCAUCUAUAGAGUGGAAACGCGUGAGUCUAACUAUAUAAUUAUGUAUGCACUGAUGAUCAAAAUUAUAAUUAUAUAUUUCUAGGCUUGAAAGUCAUCAUUAUUUUGACAACAUUCAGACGAGGGGUUAAUUGAUGAUCCACUACUUCCCUGUUACUUUAUAAUUAUACAUUUAUUUCAAUUAUUAGAUGGCUGCUUUUAUUGUGACCCCUUAUGUGACUAACUAUGAAUGGCUCGCACUUUCAAAAGUGUUCAGAGUUGCAUAGUGUGCUUCAUUUUGGAAAGCAGACAAGUAUGUAAGCGGUUCUUAGACCUGGUAAGGAAUGUAACCCACACAUUAAAAAAAAAAUAGAAGUGCACCCACUGCUCUACCUUGUGGAAGACCUUGCUGUCUCUUCGGUCCCACUGCUGCUUUUAAUUAACACUGAAAGGUGUGAAGCCUUUAAUUUAUAUUGAUGAGGGAGAAGAAAUAGACGAGCCCUAUAAGUGGUGAUAUUACUGCUUCGUUUUCAACAUUAGAAGCAUUGAGAUUUGUCUGCUCAAGUGGCUAUUACCAGAGUGAGAUUUUCAACAGUGUGUUGCUGGGUUGACUAAUCUCUACAACCAUGCAGCAUGGAAUGGCCUAGUGUCUCAUCACACAUCUUGGCAAGGCUAUAUCAGUCUGGAGCACUGAGAAAGGCUCGUUGAGAGAUAUUACCAGAUAUUGCCUUGUCUUUCAAUGGCACCAAUCAGAAUGGUGUGAAGUCUCAAGAGAAUACGAUAUACAUUCAUCAUCGUCUUGGAUGUUUUGGUGCAAACGUAUAUGGAGCAGUUUAUGGACACAUGUACGAAUUACUUCUUGCUUGAAUGUUGUGUAUGCAGGACUCCUGUUGUUCAUUCUAAUUGCUUAAUUGACGGCAUAUAGUGGUCUGUGCCAAGAAGAAUCUUCUCCCUUCCACCUUACCAAAAUGAGAGGCUUUUGACCCUUCGGACUGAACACGUAAACACAUGUUCCUGACAUGUACAUAUGUUACACUGGACAAUUCGACCUACAGGAGCUCGAGUUGGGUUUCACCAUAUACAAUGAGCAAGACUGUCCGUUGUUAACUUAACAUUACUACGCAGCCUUUUACAAUCGAACAAGAACGAGAGCAACUUAGAAUUAUCAUAGUAAUUUUUAUAAGUUGUCCUCUAGCUAUUUUAACCAUCCUUUUCAUGCAUGCACUUGUCAAUACAUAA